AACGCGAAGAACCUUACCGGGGCUUGACAUCUGCGGAAAUCCUAUGAAAGUAGGCUUCGGGGAAACCUGACCGCAAGACAGGUGCUGCAUGGCUGUCGUCAGCUCGUGCCGUGAGGUGUUGGGUUAAGUCCCGCAACGAGCGCAACCCUUGUCGUGUGUUGGUCCAAAAGAUCUCUCACACGAGACCGCCGGUGAUAAGCCGGAGGAAGGUGGGGAUGACGUCAAGUCAGCAUGGCCCUUACGUCCCGGGCUACACACGUGCUACAAUGCGCCGGACAACGAGCUGCAAACUCGCGAGAGUAAGCUAAUCUCUUAAACCGGCGCUCAGUUCGGAUUGAAGGCUGCAACUCGCCUUCAUGAAGUCGGAAUCGCUAGUAACCGCAGAUCAGCUACGCUGCGGUGAAUACGUUCCCGGGCCUUGUACACACCGGAGUGC
rnacentral:rRNA from 1 species